rnacentral:rRNA from 1 species
UACGUAGGCAGCAAGCGUUGUUCGGAGUUACUGGGCGUAAAGGGUGUGUAGGCGGUUAUUUAAGUUUGGUGUGAAAUCUCCCGGCUCAACCGGGAGGGUGCGCCGAAUACUGAAUGACUUGGAGUGCGGGAGAGGAAAGUGGAAUUCCUGGUGUAGCGGUGAAAUGCGUAGAUAUCAGGAGGAACACCAGUGGCGAAGGCGGCUCACUGGACCGGAACUGACGCUGAGGCGCGAAAGCGUGGGGAGCAAACAGG